GGUGAGUGGGGGUGGAGAGGGGUGAUUUCUAUGCAGAGAAGAAUUGUAGCAACUGGGCCUGCAGAGGGACGAGGAAGUCUAUUUUGUUUGGUAAAUAACGAUUUUUUAUUUUUAUUUUUUGGUUUCAUCAAUUGGCAUAACUUCUAAGCAGCACCUUGGCGGAUGCGCGCGAGCUUUUGCGCGCAGCUGGAAAUGCGCUAGGUUCCGUUGAGAGCAGCGUACUGCGUAGACCGCCCCGGCCGCGCGGAGGGAAGAGCUAUGCCUGCCCAGCGCAGUUCGAAACUGGCCUGACGAACGGCCCGGGGCCGCGAGGGCGGUAGCGAGUCUCCCCUGGCCUCCUGGUGCUGCAAGCCUGGCUUCGGUGGACAGCCCCGGCAGAAGGGUCCGGAAGCGGGGACCCCUGGAGCCUCCCUCCCCGGCACGGUCACACACGGAAAACUCCGGGGUCAAACUGACAGGCUCUUUGCGGGGUGCGACUGACAUAGGUUCCCAGUGGAAAAGUUCCUGGCGAUUGUUUCCGCCGGGGCCCUUCGUUCCCUGGUCACCAUAGCAACCCCAGAGCCCCGUGGAACGCUCUCAACAAUGGGGCGCGCGCAGAGGACAAUCGCGCACUCUGCGGAGCGCUCAGAGGCCUGCAGGGCGCUUCCGCCCAUCGCUCCUGGCUUUCCGGAGCCUCUGCAAGGCAGCAAGAUCUAAGAAAGGAGCAGAACACUGGCCAGCUUGGACUCUGCAGUGGACCCCAUCAUCUCCAGGCCGAUCAGGAAAGAGAAAACUUCUCUUCCUCUACAGAUGGGACAUCUAAUGUCCCCAACAGCUCCUGGCUGGUGUAGUACCCCCACCCACUCCUUCCCAGUCUGUAUCCAGGCAGCCUGAGGAGGUUUCUCCCCAUCACCCAAUCUUUUCUCCCCAGAAAGAGAUUUUGCAUUAAUAUUUUUAGAAAAGUCUUGCAUGAGUGCAUAGCCAUAAAGAGAAAUGCAGCUAUUAGAGGCUGAAAAUUUUGUUAGCAUUUGAACAGCAAUAAUAGCUAACAUUUAAGGCAGGCCAGGAGCUGUUGUAACAUCGUUUCAUUUGCUCAUUUAGCUCUAAGUAGCUCUGUGAGAAAGUGGCUUUGGGGCUCUGGCCAGUCACACUCCUGUGAGAUUUGAACCCAAGUAGUCUGACUCCAGAAGUUGGGAGCCCCUCUUUUACACGAGACCAAGACCGGUGUCUCCACCAAGCCAGGGACAGGAAGGGGAGUGGGGAGAGGGGGAGAGGUCUGAUGGAUUGGGUGAGUGCAAAGGGCAGUUUUUAUGCAUCUGAAAGUCCAUUCCAUCGGAAAUGGAAGGCAAUUGCUCCAUGAGUGGAGGGGUAAAGGCUUGGAUCUCUGUUUCUGUCCCCUCUCCCCACUCCACUAAGGACACUUAAGAGGGCUUGUGGGCAUAGAGCCCCUGACUCUGGAGAACUUAGCAGGAUGGGAGGGAGGACACAGGGACACAGACUUUUCUUCUCCAAAGCUCAGUGUCCCCAG